AUGACAUAGUAAACGCUUAUAAUUUUUUAAGACCCCGCCUUCUAAAAAUUUUCACCAAGUCAAAAACCUAAUUAUUAAUAUACUACUAGAAGAAAUGGUAGAGCUAAAACUUUUUUCUCUCUUUCCUUUGAGAGGCGAUUACUCUCUCAAAACCCAACCCUAGCCGCCUUCUCGUUCUGUGCCGAUCUCCCUUCCCGGUGAACAGUGUCUCUCACGGCCGCCAGAAAAGGGAUCACUUCUACGAGAUAGCAAGGCCUCCGCCAAAGAUUCUCAAAUCUCUUCUUCUUCUCUUACCUCCAUCUCCGUUGUUCUCUCGCUUCGUCGGAUUAAGAGCACCACUUCGAGUCCAGUGAUGCCGAAGAUUCCAAGACGUAUCCCCAUCAGGCCGGUAACAUCCGUAAAGGUGGUCACAUCAUCAUCAAGGGUCGUCCCUGCAAGAAAGAGGCUCUUGAAAAGGAUUUUGAUGGAGCAUAGAAAGGAACUGGACGAGAAGAUGAAGUUAGCUUCAUCUAGUUUGAUAAAUUCCAUUUCUGUUGCAAGUGAUUUACUUAUUUAAUAUGUUGUUGUCGUCUUUGUAAAAUAUUUUACUACUAAUGAUAAUUGUUUUAUCUUUGUAAA